GAGUAGCAAUACUCGAGAGUGGAGAACGGGUGAGUAACAUAUCGGAACGUGCCCAGUAGUGGGGGAUAGCCCGGCGAAAGCCGGAUUAAUACCGCAUACGACCUACGGGUGAAAGGGGGGGAUCGCAAGACCUCUCGCUAUUGGAGCGGCCGAUAUCAGAUUAGGUAGUUGGUGGGGUAAAAGCCUACCAAGCCAACGAUCUGUAGCUGGUCUGAGAGGACGACCAGCCACACUGGGACUGAGACACGGCCCAGACUCCUACGGGAGGCAGCAGUGGGGAAUUUUGGACAAUGGGCGCAAGCCUGAUCCAGCCAUGCCGCGUGCGGGAAGAAGGCCUUCGGGUUGUAAACCGCUUUCGUCAGGCAAGAAACGCUCUGGAUUAAUACUCUGGGGUAAUGACGGUACCUGAAGAAUAAGCACCGGCUAACUACGUGCCAGCAGCCGCGGUAAUACGUAGGGUGCAAGCGUUAAUCGGAAUUACUGGGCGUAAAGCGUG
rnacentral:rRNA from 1 species